UUUCAAUUAUGCGGCUACUGGAAAGCCAUGCUUCAGUGGCCCUAAAGUGAACUCCACCUAACUUUUUAACCCCCAUAACUCCAGAACCCCUGGUCCGAACGGGGUGAUUUUUGAAUAUGUUAUUCACCCAGAUCAGGGCUAUCAGGGGAUACCACAGUGGUGUACCCUAUGUAUUUGGGGUACAUCUACAACUUGGGGAAAAAU